rnacentral:rRNA from 1 species
GAUGAACGCUGGCGGCGUGCCUAAUACAUGCAAGUCGAGCGAACGGACGAGAAGCUUGCUUCUCUGAUGUUAGCGGCGGACGGGUGAGUAACACGUGGAUAACCUACCUAUAAGACUGGGAUAACUUCGGGAAACCGGAGCUAAUACCGGAUAAUAUUUUGAACCGCAUGGUUCAAAAGUAAAAGACGGUCUUGCUGUCACUUAUAGAUGGAUCCGCGCUGCAUUAGCUAGUUGGUAAGGUAACGGCUUACCAAGGCAACGAUGCAUAGCCGACCUGAGAGGGUGGUCGGCCACACUGGAACUGAGACACGGUACAGACUCCGACGGGAGGAAGCAGUAGGGAAUCUUCCGCAAAGGGCGAAAGCCUGACGGAGCAACGCCGCGUGAGUGAUGAAGGUCUUCGGAUCGUAAAACUCUGUUAUUAGGGAAGAACAUAUGUGUAAGUAACUGUGCACAUCUUGACGGUACCUAAUCAGAAAGCCACGGCUAACUACGUG